rnacentral:rRNA from 1 species
CACGUAGGGGGCGAGCGUUGUUCGGAAUUACUGGGCGUAAAGGGCAUGUAGGCGGCUCUGUAAGCCUGGCGUGAAAGUCACCGGCUCAACCGGUGGAUUGCGUUGGGAACUGUAGGGCUUGAAUCACGGAGAGGGAGCUGGAAUUCCAGGUGUAGGGGUGAAAUCUGUAGAGAUCUGGAAGAACACCAGUGGCGAAGGCGAGCUCCUGGCCGAUGAUUGACGCUGAGGUGCGAAAGUGUGGGGAUCAAACAGG